rnacentral:lncRNA from 1 species
UUUCCUAGGGUUUCUAUCUCCAGCUUUGCCUCUCCUUGGGUUUUCUUCAUUGUGUUCACUUCCCUUUUUUGGUCUAGUAUGGUUUUGUUCAUUUCCAUCACCUGUUUGGAUGUGUUUUCCUCUUUUUCUUUCAGGACUUGUAACUCUUUAGCAGUGUUCUCCUGUAUUUCUUUAAGUGAGUUAUAAAAGUCCUUCUUGAUGUCCUCUACCAUCAUCAUGAGAUAUGCUUUUAAAUCUGGGUCUAGCUUUUCGGGUGUGUUGUGGUGCCCAGGACUGGGCGAGGUUAGAGUGCUGGGUUCUAAAGAUGGUGAGUGGUCUUGGUUUCUGUUAGUAAGAUUCUUACGUUUGCCUUUCGCCAUCUGGUAGUCUCUGGAGUUAGUUGUUAUAGUUGUCUCUGGUUGGAGAUUGUUCCUCUCGAGAUUCUUUUAUCCUCUAUCAGCAGACCUGGGAGACUAAUUCUCUCCUCUGAGUUUCAGUGGUCAUAGCGCUCUCUGCAGGCAAGCUCUCCUCUUACAGGGAAGGUGCACAGAUAUCUGGCAUUCAGACCUCCUUCUUGGCAGAAGAUGAAGGCCGGAAACAGGACUUGUUCCAGAAGCUGUGUUGCUUCUGUAGUUCACACUCUCAUCUGCACAGACUAGUCUCAGAGGGAUCCGGGAACCAAGAUGGCUCCCCCAGGUGCUCCAGCAAAGCCCUCCAGGGCAGGGCAGACACCUCUCCUCUGUCAGGGAAGGUGUCCAGAUGUCUGGAGCCCAAAACGGGGUCCUUUCUCAGAGUCUGUCUUCUAGGGACCUUGGGGGUGUCUGCCAACUCUGCGCCCAGGUGACCAAGUCCUGGCACCUACUGGAAGGGACUUGUGACCCUGGUCAGGCCGGGUUUCCUGCUUCUCUAAUGUUUUCUCAGGUCCCAGGCGAUUGGAUCGGAACAGAAGUUGUGUUCCACUCACCAGUGGUCCUAAGAUUGUGUGGAGAGUCCUCUAGGGGAUCUUGGGGGUGUUCACCGACUCCGUGCCCAAGGUGACCUGGACUAUCCUUCAGCUUCUUGCAAGAGGCUAACACCACAGAAAGUCUUGUAAAUGAUCACAGAAAUGAACUACUGGGUUGGCUAUCACCUGUUGGUGUUGCAUCUCGAGCAUGAAGGCCUCAAAGUUGAUCCUGUGGGAUGGCAUGGCCCAAGGAGCAAAUAAUCCCUUGAACUGAGGCUACAAGGAUCAUGUCAGUUCAAGCUGAAUCGUGGACUACCUCAGCCCACAUAUGCCACAUCCUGCUCCUUGUAGCAUUGAUCUUCCCAGACUGAUAACUGCUGAAAUCCAGGUCACGGCUCACCUCACCAAACUCAAAGCAAGGAGUGAGGAGAGGGAGACUCUAGACAGCCACUGGACUACAACCAUCGGCUCUGAAAUAAUGAGAAACUAUUGUAAGCAGACAGAUGCCUUGAUGUCUCUGAGAAGUUGCAAAAGAGACAGCUGUCUAUGAAGAUAGAAGCUAGACCGCCUGUCAAGCUGACAUGGAAUGAAGAGCUACAGUUCCAUCUUCAUUACAUCCUGAAAUUGAGCUCCAUCUUCAAAUUGAUGCCUCAGAAUCCAUAGGAGCCAUCAAGCAAAGAAAUACACCCUGACAGGUUGUCAUGGCCUCCGCAUAUGUGAAGUUGCCUGUGCACUAAAGGUUAUCAGUC